rnacentral:rRNA from 1 species
AUUGAACGCUGGCGGCAUGCUUUACACAUGCAAGUCGAACGGCAGCGGGGUAGUGCUUGCACUACUGCCGGCGAGUGGCGAACGGGUGAGUAAUAUAUCGGAACGUACCGAGUAAUGGGGAUAACCAAUCGAAAGAUUGGCUAAUACCGCAUACGUCCUGAGGGAGAAAGCGGGGGAUCGCAAGACCUCGCGUUAUUCGAGCGGCCGAUAACUGAUUAGCUAGUUGGUGGGGUAAAGGCCUACCAAGGCGACGAUCAGUAGCGGGUCUGAGAGGACGAUCCGCCACACUGGGACUGAGACACGGCCCAGACUCCUACGGGAGGCAGCAGUGGGGAAUUUUGGACAAUGGGGGCAACCCUGAUCCAGCCAUGCCGCGUGUAUGAAGAAGGCCUUCGGGUUGUAAAGUACUUUUGUUAGGGAAGAAAAGGGAAGUGCUAAUACCACUUUUUGCUGACGGUACCUAAAGAAUAAGCACCGGCUAACUACGUG